GCCAGAGCAGGAUGCUGCCAGCCUGCAGAAUGUGUUGGAGCAGGAUGCUGCCAGUCCACAUAGCUUAGUAAUGGGGAAAAAAUGUGUAGAUAUUUGCAGUAGCUCUCAAGCCACUUUAGAAAAUGAUCAUUGUGAAUACAAGGCAAUAUUCCAAAGUUGUAGAAAAACAAAAGAAAAGGAUGAAGAUGCAUGUAUGAGCUGCAAAUUGUAUGGCCCAAUUACUAAAUAUGCUAUAUCUGAACUGAAGAAAACAGAAGAAUCUACACUGCCUCAUCACAAAUGGCUGUCAUCGCAUUUCCUAAUAUCUUACUCAUAAGGGUAACCAUGGAAACUCAGGCUCUACUUCUGAUGCUAGUGGGUGUCGCCCCACUCCUUAUGCAGUUUCUAUCCAGAAAUAAAAUGGUUUCAAAAGGAAGAUACUGUUACCAUAAAGAUAAAAAUAAGAAAUAUACAUGACCAUAAAUGUGAAUUUUUCAGAGACGAGAUUGUUUUCAGUGCAUUUUCAGGAGGCAAAUUUUAUGUGGCUGAGAUGAAACUGCAUGCAAACAUACAUAAAGAAAAGUCUGUGUGUGUGAUUAAGAAUGAAGAACCUAUGAUUAUCCUUGCAAAAGACAAGAAGGAAUUUUGGUGCCAUCUACUAAAGCAUAAGAAUCCUAAUGUGUCUCUUGAUUUUGAACACUGGGAGGAUUUAGAAGAUAAAAGCCCCUUUCCUGUUGGUGUGAAAAAAGCACAUCGUGCUGUAUCAUUGAUAACAGAAGAAAUGGAAGAAUCUUCAGAAUAUAGUGGAACAGAGAGUGAUGACUAGUCUGCAAAUAAAUCUCUACCAAUUCCUUUUCUUAUUAAAGAUUGUUUUGCCACCCUUAUUCACAUGAGUUUUUCCUUUAAAACGCUAUGGAACUACUUGUAGAGUUUAAGGGGUGCAGGAUGAAGUCUUCAAUUUUUAGUAGAAUAAUAGUGAACAGAGCCCUUCAUUGUGUUAAAAUAUGUUUGAUUUAUUUUUGGUGACUGGAAUUUGAAAUAUUUUAUGCCAUGCAAAAAGGUUGUUAUUUAUGUUCCUCUCAAUAUUUUUCUUUAAAAUAGCUUUGACACUUAUUGAUGGUAUAUUGUAUAAAAGCUAUGCUGCCCAGAUAGGGAAAAAAAAAGAAAAGUAAUAUAUUGGAUUUGGGGAGCAAAUGGUUCUUUUAGAAAAUUGGUAAUAGAGUGCAGAACUUUUGGGUCACUAAUUCAUGUUUAGUCUGUGUAAACAAUUAUUAAAAAUUGUUGCCAUGUUAUGGCAUCAGUGAAAUUAAGUGCUGAUUCUAAGUCCAAUUCUUAGUGAACUGAUACUGUUUGUGUGUGUCAGAAUCAAUUUCACUUUGGCACUAAUUGGUAUGUUUGCUAACAGUUCUGCAUCAAGGUCAGGCUUUUAAAGGGGCCUGGAGACACAACUAACCUGGCAAGCCUCCUUUCAGAUUAGAGUUAAGGUAUAUUGAGGUACAGAUUGUACCUCCUGGUCCAACUCCUUCAGAACCUGACCUGAGUUCAGGGAUUUUCCUGGAUCAGGCAAGGUAAUUUCUGGUCCCUCCUGCCAUCAGCCCCGCCCCAGCCCUGGUCUGACUGCUAGCCUCCCAACCGCGUCUGUUCCCCCACC